rnacentral:rRNA from 1 species
AUUGAACGCUGGCGGCAGGCUUAACACAUGCAAGUCGAGCGGGGAGAUGUAGCUUGCUACAUUUCCUAGCGGCGGACGGGUGAGUAAUGCUUAGGAAUCUGCCUAUUAGUGGGGGACAACGUUUCGAAAGGAACGCUAAUACCGCAUACGCCCUACGGGGGAAAGCAGGGGAUCUUCGGACCUUGCGCUAAUAGAUGAGCCUAAGUCAGAUUAGCUAGUUGGUGGGGUAAAGGCCUACCAAGGCGACGAUCUGUAGCGGGUCUGAGAGGAUGAUCCGCCACACUGGGACUGAGACACGGCACAGACUCCUACGGGAGGCAGCAGUGGGGAAUAUUGGACAAGGGGGGGAACCCUGAUCCAGCCAUGCCGCGUGUGGGAAGAAGGCCUUUUGGUUGUAAAGCACUUUAAGCGAGGAGGAGGCUACUAGUACUAAUACUACUGGAUAGUGGACGUUACUCGCAGAAUAAGCACCGGCUAACUCUGUGCCAGCAGCCGCCGUAA